GUCCUUGUCGAUUAGUGGUUAGAUCAUCACGUUGUGGACGCACAAAUCCGUGAAGACGGAGGCUCGAAUCCUCCCUGGGACA
rnacentral:tRNA from 1 species